rnacentral:rRNA from 1 species
GACGAACGCUGGCGGCGUGCUUAACACAUGCAAGUCGAACGAAGUGGCGAACGGGUGAGUAACGCGUAAUCAACCUGCCCUUCAGAGGGGGACAACAGUUGGAAACGACUGCUAAUACCGCAUACUGAAGGAGGGGAUGGCGUCUGAUUAGCUAGGUGGGGGGGUAACGGCCCACCAAGGCGAUGAUCAGUAGCCGGUCUGAGAGGCAGAACGUCCACAUUGUGACUGAGACACGGCCCAGAAUCCUACGGUAGGUCGCAGGGGGGGUUCUUCCGCAAUGGACGAAAGUCUGACGGAGCAACGCCGCGUGAGUGAUGACGGCCUUCGGGUUGUAAAGCUCUGUUAAUCGGGACGCGUUACCGGAAUAGAAAGCCACGGCUAACUACGUGCCAGCAGCCGCGGUAAUUC